UUAAGCGACUAAGCGUACACGGUGGAUGCCCUGGCAGUCAGAGGCGAUGAAGGACGUGCUAAUCUGCGAAAAGCGUCGGUAAGGUGAUAUGAACCGUUAUAACCGGCGAUGUCCGAAUGGGGAAACCCAGUGNCACUAUCGUUAACUGAAUACAUAGGUUAACGAGGCGAACCGGGGGAACUGAAACAUCUAAGUACCCCGAGGAAAAGAAAUCAACCGAGAUUCCCCCAGUAGCGGCGAGCGAACGGGGAGCAGCCCAGAGUCUGAAUCAGCUUGUGUGUUAGUGGAACGGUCUGGAAAGUCCGACGGUACAGGGUGAUAGUCCCGUACACCAAAAUGCACAGGUUGUGAACUCGAAGAGUAGGGCGGGACACGUGGUAUCCUGUCUGAAUAUGGGGGGACCAUCCUCCAAGGCUAAAUACUCCUGACUGACCGAUAGUGAACCAGUACCGUGAGGGAAAGGCGAAAAGAACCCCGGCGAGGGGAGUGAAAAAGAACCUGAAACCGUGUACGUACAAGCAGUGGGAGCACCUUCGGGUGUGACUGCGUACCUUUUGUAUAAUGGGUCAGCGACUUAUAUUCUGUAGCAAGGUUAACCGUAUAGGGGAGCCGCAGGGAAACCGAGUCUUAACUGGGCGUUAAGUUGCAGGGUAUAGACCCGAAACCCGGUGAUCUAGCCAUGGGCAGGUUGAAGGUUGGGUAACACUAACUGGAGGACCGAACCGACUAAUGUUGAAAAAUUAGCGGAUGACUUGUGGCUGGGGGUGAAAGGCCAAUCAAACCGGGAGAUAGCUGGUUCUCCCCGAAAGCUAUUUAGGUAGCGCCUCGUGAAUUCAUCUUCGGGGGUAGAGCACUGUUUCGGCUAGGGGGUCAUCCCGACUUACCAACCCGAUGCAAACUACGAAUACCGAAGAAUGUUAUCACGGGAGACACACGGCGGGUGCUAACGUCCGUCGUGAAGAGGGAAACAACCCAGACCGCCAGCUAAGGUCCCAAAGUCAUGGUUAAGUGGGAAACGAUGUGGGAAGGCACAGACAGCCAGGAUGUUGGCUUAGAAGCAGCCAUCAUUUAAAGAAAGCGUAAUAGCUCACUGGUCGAGUCGGCCUGCGCGGAAGAUGUAACGGGGCUAAACCAUGCACCGAAGCUGCGGCAGCGACACUAUGUGUUGUUGGGUAGGGGAGCGUUCUGUAAGCCUGCGAAGGUGACCUGUGAGGGUUGCUGGAGGUAUCAGAAGUGCGAAUGCUGACAUAAGUAACGAUAAAGCGGGUGAAAAGCCCGCUCGCCGGAAGACCAAGGGUUCCUGUCCAACGUUAAUCGGGGCAGGGUGAGUCGACCCCUAAGGCGAGGCCGAAAGGCGUAGUCGAUGGGAAACAGGUUAAUAUUCCUGUACUUGGUGUUACUGCGAAGGGGGGACGGAGAAGGCUAUGUUAGCCGGGCGACGGUUGUCCCGGUUUAAGCAUGUAGGCUGAUUAUCCAGGCAAAUCCGGAUAAUCAAGGCUGAGGUGUGAUGACGAGGCACUACGGUGCUGAAGUAACAAAUGCCCUGCUUCCAGGAAAAGCCUCUAAGCAUCAGGUAACAUCAAAUCGUACCCCAAACCGACACAGGUGGUCAGGUAGAGAAUACCAAGGCGCUUGAGAGAACUCGGGUGAAGGAACUAGGCAAAAUGGUGCCGUAACUUCGGGAGAAGGCACGCUGGUGUGUAGGUGAAGUCCCUGCGGAUGGAGCUGAGACCAGUCGAAGAUACCAGCUGGCUGCAACUGUUUAUUAAAAACACAGCACUGUGCAAACACGAAAGUGGACGUAUACGGUGUGACGCCUGCCCGGUGCCGGAAGGUUAAUUGAUGGGGUUAUCCGUAAGGAGAAGCUCUUGAUCGAAGCCCCGGUAAACGGCGGCCGUAACUAUAACGGUCCUAAGGUAGCGAAAUUCCUUGUCGGGUAAGUUCCGACCUGCACGAAUGGCGUAAUGAUGGCCAGGCUGUCUCCACCCGAGACUCAGUGAAAUUGAACUCGCUGUGAAGAUGCAGUGUACCCGCGGCAAGACGGAAAGACCCCGUGAACCUUUACUAUAGCUUGACACUGAACAUUGAGCCUUGAUGUGUAGGAUAGGUGGGAGGCUUUGAAGCGUGGACGCCAGUCUGCGUGGAGCCAACCUUGAAAUACCACCCUUUAAUGUUUGAUGUUCUAACGUUGGCCCCUGACCGGGGUUGCGGACAGUGUCUGGUGGGUAGUUUGACUGGGGCGGUCUCCUCCCAAAGCGUAACGGAGGAGCACGAAGGUUAGCUAAUCCUGGUCGGACAUCAGGAGGUUAGUGCAAUGGCAUAAGCUAGCUUGACUGCGAGCGUGACGGCGCGAGCAGGUGCGAAAGCAGGUCAUAGUGAUCCGGUGGUUCUGAAUGGAAGGGCCAUCGCUCAACGGAUAAAAGGUACUCCGGGGAUAACAGGCUGAUACCGCCCAAGAGUUCAUAUCGACGGCGGUGUUUGGCACCUCGAUGUCGGCUCAUCACAUCCUGGGGCUGAAGUAGGUCCCAAGGGUAUGGCUGUUCGCCAUUUAAAGUGGUACGCGAGCUGGGUUUAGAACGUCGUGAGACAGUUCGGUCCCUAUCUGCCGUGGGCGCUGGAGAAUUGAGGGGGGCUGCUCCUAGUACGAGAGGACCGGAGUGGACGCAUCACUGGUGUUCGGGUUGUCAUGCCAAUGGCACUGCCCGGUAGCUAAAUGCGGAAGAGAUAAGUGCUGAAAGCAUCUAAGCACGAAACUUGCCCCGAGAUGAGUUCUCCCUGAGACUUUAAGUCUCCUGAAGGAACGUUAAAGACGAUGACGUUGAUAGGCCGGGUGUGUAAGCGCAGCGAUGCGUUGAGCUAACCGGUACUAAUGAACCGUGAGGCUUAACCUU
rnacentral:rRNA from 1 species